rnacentral:rRNA from 1 species
GACCCGUUAGAUGUUGGUUUACGACCAAAUUGGAUAGACUUUUUUUAUAUAUUUUAUAUAUAAUUAAAGACCAAAUUGUGUUUUCUAACCAAGUAUUUGACGGUAAUCGUAUGGUAUUAAGUCGCAAUAUUAAUAUAUUUAUGCGUUCUCUACCCGUCGCAAGCGAGGCCUUUUUAAUUAGUUUACAGACUUUGUGCUGUCUAAUUAAAAUUGUGCCAGCUGUUGGCUGUUUACGGUGUUCUAGAACUGACUUAUUUUUUUUUAUAAAAAAAAAUACCUGUCGGCGAUGCUAUUGCUUUGGGUACUUUCAGGACCCGUCUUG